GGGAGCUGUUUGGAGAGGUGUGUGUGUAGUGUUAGCUUUACACACGCAGAGGUGUAUCAGGAUCCAGCAGGCUGGGCCCUGUAUCAGGGCCCUGUGGAAAAUGAGAAAGGGCCCAAGGGAAAGGGCAAAAGAAGCUGGCCCAGUGCCUCCCUCCUUCCCUCCUACCCUCCUCCAAGCCUGGCCUGAGCCAAGAGGAACCAGCUCCAAGGAAGGUGGAAAGACAGAAGAAGGUCACUGCUGACGUCAGAGACAUUCAGGGAAGGGAGAGAGAAAUAGAGGGAGAGAAACGUCAGUCUGAUCAGUUGCCUCUCUUAUGCGCUCCAAAAUCGGAACAGCGACCUUUUGCUUGGCGGGAGGACACCAAACCAACUGAGCCACACUGGCCAGGGCCUGAGCCUACAUCUUCAAGACAGGAACUCCAGCACCCCCAACAACCUUCAGUCACUGUGCAAAGCAGGAACUGGGAUGGAGGAGAAGGUAGAAAAUUAUGGAUUGGGUGGUUCACUAGCCUUAGGCAAGAGGCUCAGGGACAGCCUGAUUUAAAACAAUUUUUAAAAAAUCCUUACCCGAGAAUAUGUUUAUUGAUUUGAGAGAGAUAGAGAGAGAGAGAGAGACAUCAAUGUGAGAAAGAAACAUCGAU